rnacentral:lncRNA from 1 species
UUUUCCUAGGUAUUGUACGUAUUUCUGAAAAUUGACAAUAAAAACCAAUUCUGUUUUGGUCUGACCCGACGAGGGUGCUGAAGUGGGGGAGCUUACUCUUCAGGGUUGCUGCUGCAGGCAGCACCUUGAGAGGGUGAGUCACAUCCUGGCUGUUUGCUCUGGUCUUUGAGUGCUUAAUCCAACUUGGUUUUGUGUGCCCAGUGCCCCCCACAGUGACUGAAGCAACGAAGCUGAAUUGGCCAGAAGGCCCUGCAGCAGCAGCUCCUGAUUUCGCUCCCACUGCAGUAACAGCUUCCCCAGGAGAGGCUGAAGCUACUGAUGGACCAAAAGGUGUGGCAUCAGCAGAUGCAGCCUGUGUUCCUGCCUCGGGUGUCAUGUCCGUUUCUGCAGAAAACGCUGGGUCUGUUCUUGCAGGAGACACCAAGCCUCCUCAAGCUCUGGAUGCCGGAUGUGCACCUACAGCAGAAACCAGCCCUCUUCAGGCUGUGGAUGUUGGGUUUGCUCCUGCACCAGAAGCCAAGCCCCCAAAUGUGGUCAACGAUGCAUCUGCCCCAGUGGCAGAUACUGGCUUCGCCCCAGCAGCAGAUGCUCUGUCCCAUUAUGCUAUGGGUUGGGAGUUUGCCGCAGCAGAAGAUGCAGGGUUUGCCCCAGCAGCAGAUGUGGAACAUCACCAUCCUGUGAGCUUGGCAUUUGCCCCGGCAGCAGAUACUGAAUCUCACCAUGCUGUGGGUUUGGCAUUUGCCCCAGCAGCAGAUACUGAAUCUCAUCAUGCUGUGGAUUUGGUGUUUGCCCCAGCAGCAGAUACUGAAUCUCAUCAUGCUGUGGAUUCUGAGUUUGCCCCAGCAGCAGAUGCAGAGUUUACCCCUGCAGCAGAAGUCAACCAUCACCAUGCUGUGGAUUCUGGGUUUGCCCCUGCAGCAGAAGUCAACCAUCACCAUGCUGUGGAUUCUGGGUUUGCCCCUGCAGCAGAAGUCAACCAUCACCAUGCUGUGGAUUCUGGGUUUACCCCUGCAGCAGAAACCAGGCCUCUUCCUGCCAUGGAUUCUGGGUUUGCCUCUGCAGAAGCCAAGUCUGUCCCUGCAGCUGACACCAAGAUUGCUGCAGCUGAAGAGCUGAUGACAUCUGAGUCUUCUCUUGAGCAAGAGAAGCCACCCUUGGACAAGCCUCCCACAGAAGCAAAUGCAAAUGUGGAACAAGAAUCAAAAGUCCCAGAAGCUUGUGUUGAUCUUUUAGAGAAAGCUAAAGACAGCAGGCUGCCUCCCGGCCACCACGAAGAGCAUCUUCCAGAGCAGACGAACCACCUUUCAGAACCAGCAGGUGAGAGACACAAAUCGCAGUAUGCAACUGGAGCCAGGACUUUGCUGUCGCCUAAUUCUGCCCCACCACCUAAGUGCUUUCUCACAGAUGCUGUUCUCCUGUCCCUAUCAAGGAAAAAGCAGCAAAGGUUUAAUUUCAAGACGGUUGUUAGUGUGCACUAACGUGGGGACUGUUACAAAUAGAUGGUAGUAUUAACAUU